UGAUUUCUUAAAGUUUGGAAGCUAUAAAACGGCAAAUUUUAGUAAUUUUUUUUCUUUGAAUUUUUGCUACUUUUUGUGUAAUAACUUUUAAACCGAGAAUAAUUUGGUAAGAAAUAUAUCACAAAAGUUGUGGGUAAUUACGAGAGCUUUCAUAUUUGAUUAACCAAAAGGGGCUGGCCCCUAUAAUUAGGGGUUAAUAGCUCAUACACGCUUUUUUCUGAUAGCUAAAAAUAUUGGUAUAUUAUGAAAAAGUUUGACUGAAAUAAUUUCGAACUUAUAAAAUCUUGUCAUUUGAUAUAAAAAGAAAUAAACUUCAAGCUAUAUUUAAUUGUUUUUUUUAUAAAACAAGUACAUGUAUGUGAGAAACCUUUCAGGAACAAGUUGUCUACUAUAGCCAGCCAAGCCUUUACUGCAUACAUGUGCACAUUUUUAGUUGAUGCAUCUAAAAGAUAUAGUUUUGAUUCGGUGUUUCUUUGUUUUCUUUUUAUUCAAAUAAUUUUAAAAUGUGAUGAUGUACACAACAAUAAUUAGUACCUAGUUUAGAGGAUUUUUUCGCGCUUGUUUGUAAACAACGCGCGGCAUUGUGGGAAAUAGGAAGGUACUAAAGACGCGAUGUACUAAGCACUGAUUUGACCUGAUUCAAAUUUGUCUGUAAAUGUUCCAAACAAUUGAAUUUUUGUAUAGCAUAUGCCUCGAAGUCAUAUAGUCUGUACAUAAGUAAUUUAAAAUACUCAAUAUUACCAUUUAAUUAAAAAUUAAAACGUCAGGUAAAUAUCAGGUCUCUAGUAUAUCCCGUUUUUAGUGUGCCCCUUCGAGUCGACGUCGGACACAUGUUUGCCAUGGUUUACAAACUGAAAAUAGAAUGAUUUGUGAAGUUGAACAUUUUCUCACAAAGAAUCCGUUUGUAGACAUGUACACUCAUUUAAUCUGCAGCUACGAAGUACUUUGUCACUUCUCUGGAACAUUAUUCUAAGCAGAAUUAUGCCGAUUCAUAUAUUCUAAGAAUCUUGUGUGAAUUGUUUACGAGGAAAUUCUGACUGUCACAUUAACAAGGAUGAACACUCUUGACUCUGCUUCGGAUUCCCCAGUGAUAAUUGUAUCGUGUGAUGAAAGAGCUGACGGCGACAUUUUAAUGUAUGAUUGGCUUGGACCAUUGGAAUGAAGUCAUUUCAUGGUGCCACCACUUGGGAUGGUAUUAGCUGCAAAUAUAGACUUGUACUCAGCACUUAUUGCCUUUAAGAAGUAUGAGAUCCAUUUUGUGCUAACACCUACCGUGACACAGAAUCUUGGUUUAUGCAGUCUCAUAGGAGUAACCUGUCUAAAGCAUUUAGCAAUGGGAUUGGAACCUGCGACGUAAGGUUCAGCUUCUUAUUGAUACUUUGAUUUAUAAUAUUUAUUUGAGAAUUUCACUCAUUCACAUACUUAGAGAUGUUGAUAUAUAUUGUUGAAUAGCAUCAAUUUAGACCUUUACUUAGCUAAGUAAACAUGUACCGUGAGGUUUUUAAGGUCUCAUUCAUUUUAUAUGCCAGAUGCAUGUUAAGGAACAUUACUGCAUAAAUGUUUUUGUCUUAAAUUUGAAGCUCUUUACUAAUAUAGAGAUAUGUUAGUGUUAAACCUCUUCAAAUUAGGGUAGACCUUUACUUUAAACUCAGCAAUGUGAGUGUGUUGUGUGAACUUGUGUUAGCGAGACAGUGUGUUGUAUGAAUUUGUGUUAGCAAGGCAGUGUGUUUUGUGAACUUAAUUGUGUUAGCCUGACAGUGGGUUGUGUGAAUUCUUGUUAGCUUGACGAUGUGUUGUGUAAAUUCGUGUUAGCGGGACAGCGUGUUGUGUGAAAUUGUGUAUAAAGUGUAAGUGUGACAGUGUGUUUUGUAAACUCGUGUUAGUGAGACUGCGUGUUGUGUAAACUCGUGUUAGCGAGACUGCGUGUUGUGUAAACUCAUGUUAGAGAGACAGCGUGUUGUGUGAACUCUUAUUAAUGAGACAGCAUGUUGUGUGAAUUCGUGUUAGCGUGACAGUGUGUUGUGUGAACUUGUUAUCCUGAAAAUUUGUCGUGUGAACUGGUGUUAGAGAGAUAGUGUGUUGUGUGAACUCGUGUUAGCGAGAUUGCAUAUUGUGUGAACUCGUGUUAGCCAGACUGCGUGUUAUGUGAACUCGUGUUAGGGAUAUUGCAUGUUUUUUGAAUUUGUGUUAGCGUGACAGUGUGUUGUGUGAACUCGUGUUAGCCUGACAGUGUGUUGUGUGAAAUGGUAUUAGGAUGACAGUGUGUUGUGUGAAAUGGUAUUAGGAUGACAGUGUGUUAUCGCAACAGCGUUUGGUGCGAACUUGUGUUAGUGAAUAGUGAGAAAGCCUGUUUUGUGAAUUCGUGUUAGCGUGACAGUGUGUUGUGUGAACUUGUGUUAGCCUGACAGUGUGUUGUGUGAAAUGGUAUUAGAAUGACAGUGUGUUGUGUGAAAUGGUAUUAGGAUGACAGUGUGUUAUCGCAACAGCAUUUGGUGCGAACUUGUGUUAGUGAAUAGUGAGACAGCCUGUUUUGUGACUUUGUGUUAGCGUGACAGUGUAUUGUGUAAACUCGUGUUAGCGUGACAGUGUAUUGUGUAAACUCGUGUUAGUGAGACUGCGUGUUUUGUAAACUCAUGUUAGCAUGACAGUGUGUUGUGUGAAUUCAUCUAAGCGUGACAGUGUGUUGCAUGUACUUGUGUUAGCUAGACAGUGUAUUGUAUGAACUCGUAUUAGCGAGACUGCGUGUUGUGUAAAACUUGUGUUAGCAAGACAGCGUGUUGUGUGAUUUUGUGUUAGCGAGACAGCGUGUUUGUGAAUUUGUGUUAGCAUGAUAGUGUGUUGUGUGAACUCGUGUUAGCCUGAUAUUUUGUUGUGUGAAAUUGUAUUAGCGUGACAGUGUGUUGUGUGUUAGUGUGACAGCAUGUGGUGCGAACUUGUGUUAGUGCGAAAGUGUUUUUCAGUGUUGUGAUGGCGAGCUGUGUGAUAG